rnacentral:rRNA from 1 species
CCUACGGGUGGCAGCAGUGAGGAAUAUUGGUCAAUGGGCGCGAGCCUGAACCAGCCAAGUAGCGUGAAGGAUGACUGCCCUAUGGGUUGUAAACUUCUUUUAUAAAGGAAUAAAGUGAGGUAUGUAUGCUUUUUUGCAUGUACCUUAUGAAUAAGGAUCGGCUAACUCCGUGCCAGCAGCCGCGGUAAUACGGAGGAUCCGAGCGUUAUCCGGAUUUAUUGGGUUUAAAGGGAGCGUAGACGGGUUGUUAAGUCAGUUGUGAAAGUUUGCGGCUCAACCGUAAAAUUGCAGUUGAUACUGGCAUUCUUGAGUACAGUUGAGGUAGGCGGAAUGCGUGGUGUAGCGGUGAAAGGCUUAGAUAUCACGAAGAACUCCGAGUGCGAAGGCAGCUUACUGGACUGCAACUGACAUUGAUGCUCGAAAGUGUGGGUAUCAAACAGGAUUAGAUACCCUGGUAGUC